AGGCGGGGAUAACGUGGGCAGCGUUCGGCGAGCGAGGGACCGGGAAGCCUCGUCCUGCGCUGCGGCUGCCGCCCGGCCGGCCGGCGGCGAGAGGAUGCUCCCCGGCUGCCCGCGCUCCGCAGCCGGAAUUUGCAAAUGCUCAGCCUUCCCCGGAGCGAUGCCAGGCUGAGCAGGCUCAACAGGACACACAAACAUCAAAGAGCCUCCUCUAUUCCAAUGAAAACGAAAUAAUUCCCUGGAUUACAUCUCAGUUCACGCACUAACCUAGUAUCAUGAAUUCACACCUGCUUCUGUCAGUCUGUUCGGAAAUCUGCACGACAUGCAAUCAGAGCUGAAUGCAGUGAUUGGGAUGACAGCAAGACUUGCAACAUGCUGUACUGGAAGACAAGAGACUGAUAGUUACCAACCUCAGCAGGCUGUUCCUACUAAAACCAAUAUCCAAUACUAAAACAUUAAUUAGUUAACUAGUAGAAGGCCUAGCAGCACCACACAUCUCGAGUAAUCCAGUUAUGUCCAACUAGAUUUUUUCUGCAUUGUCUGCUCCAUUCCUGAUCUGCAGAAGCAUUUUAAGUUGUUGUUACUUCCAACUCACUCACCAGAAGUAAAUUUCCUGGCCAUUCCUCUUGAGUCCCACAUUAAAAUGAUGUGACCUAACAAAGUAAUUCAAGUUCUGCUUUAUUUGGAUUUGAUC
rnacentral:lncRNA from 1 species